UUAAGUUAAUAAGGGCGCACGGUGGAUGCCUUGGCACUAGGAGCCGACGAAGGACGUGACAAACGACGAUAUGCCUUGGGUAGCUGUAAGUAAGCGAUGAUCCAGGGAUUUCCGAAUGGGGGAACCCAACAGGUAAUACCUGUUACCUACAUCUGUUAAGGAUGUGAGGAGGAAGACGCAGUGAACUGAAACAUCUAAGUAGCUGCAGGAAGAGAAAGCAAAAGCGAUUGCCUUAGUAGCGGCGAGCGAAACGGCAGAAGGGCAAACCGAAGAGUUUACUCUUCGGGGUUGUAGGACUGCAAUGUGGACUCAAAGAUUAUAGAAGAAUGAUUUGGGAAGAUCAGCCAAAGAGAGUAAUAGCCUCGUAUUUAAAAUAGUCUUUGUACUUAGCAGUAUCCUGAGUACGGCGGGACACGUGAAAUCCCGUCGGAAUCUGGGAGGACCAUCUCCCAACCCUAAAUACUCCCUAGUGACCGAUAGUGAACCAGUACCGUGAGGGAAAGGUGAAAAGCACCCCGGGAGGGGAGUGAAAUAGAACCUGAAACCGUGUGCCUACAACAAGUUCGAGCCCGUUAAUGGGUGAGAGCGUGCCUUUGUAGAAUGAACCGGCGAGUUACGUUAUGAUGCGAGGUUAAGUUGAAGAGACGGAGCCGUAGGGAAACCGAGUCUGAAUAGGGCGCCUUAGUAUCAUGACGUAGACCCGAAACCAUGUGACCUACCCAUGAGCAGGUUGAAGGUGCGGUAAGACGCACUGGAGGACCGAACCAGGGCACGUUGAAAAGUGCUUGGAUGACUUGUGGGUAGCGGAGAAAUUCCAAACGAACUUGGAGAUAGCUGGUUCUCUCCGAAAUAGCUUUAGGGCUAGCGUCGACAUUAGAGAUUCUUGGAGGUAGAGCACUGUUUGGGUGAGGGGUCCAUCCCGGAUUACCAAUCUCAGAUAAACUCCGAAUGCCAAUGAAUUAUGGUCGGCAGUCAGACUGCGAGUGCUAAGAUCCGUAGUCGAAAGGGAAACAGCCCAGACCACCAGCUAAGGUCCCAAAAUAAUUGUUAAAGUGGAAAAAGGAUGUGGGGUUGCACAGACAACUAGGAUGUUAGCUUAGAAGCAGCUAUUCAUUCAAAGAGUGCGUAAUAGCUCACUAGUCGAGUGACCCUGCGCCGAAAAUGUACCGGGGCUAAAACAAUUUACCGAAGCUGUGGAUACCUUUAUAGGUAUGGUAGGAGAGCGUUCUAUGUGUGAUGAAGGUAUACCGUGAGGAGUGCUGGAACGCAUAGAAGUGAGAAUGCCGGUAUGAGUAGCGAAAGACAGGUGAGAAUCCUGUCCACCGUAAGACUAAGGUUUCCAGGGGAAGGCUCGUCCGCCCUGGGUUAGUCGGGACCUAAGGAGAGACCGAAAGGUGUAUCCGAUGGACAACAGGUUGAUAUUCCUGUACUAGAGUAUGUAGUGAUGGAGGGACGCAGUAGGCUAACUAAAGCAGACGAUUGGAAGAGUCUGUCUAAGCAGUGAGGUGUGAAUUGAGUCAAAUGCUUAAUUCUAUAACAUUGAGCUGUGAUGGGGAGCGAAGUUUAGUAGCGAAGUUAGUGACGUCACACUGCCAAGAAAAGCUUCUAGCGUUUAAACAUACUCUACCCGUACCGCAAACCGACACAGGUAGUCGAGGCGAGUAGCCUCAGGUGAGCGAGAGAACUCUCGUUAAGGAACUCGGCAAAAUGACCCCGUAACUUCGGGAGAAGGGGUGCUGACUUUAAGUCAGCCGCAGUGAAUAGGCCCAAGCAACUGUUUAUCAAAAACACAGCUCUCUGCUAAAUCGUAAGAUGAUGUAUAGGGGGUGACGCCUGCCCGGUGCUGGAAGGUUAAGAGGAGUGCUUAGCGUAAGCGAAGGUAUGAAUUGAAGCCCCAGUAAACGGCGGCCGUAACUAUAACGGUCCUAAGGUAGCGAAAUUCCUUGUCGGGUAAGUUCCGACCCGCACGAAAGGCGUAAUGAUUUGGGCACUGUCUCAACGAGAGACUCGGUGAAAUUUUAGUACCUGUGAAGAUGCAGGUUACCCGCGACAGGACGGAAAGACCCCAUGGAGCUUUACUGCAGUUUGAUAUUGAGUGUCUGUACCACAUGUACAGGAUAGGUAGGAGUCUAAGAGAUCGGGACGCCAGUUUCGAAGGAGACGCUGUUGGGAUACUACCCUUGUGUUAUGGCCACUCUAACCCAGAUAGGUGAUCCCUAUCGGAGACAGUGUCUGACGGGCAGUUUGACUGGGGCGGUCGCCUCCUAAAAGGUAACGGAGGCGCCCAAAGGUUCCCUCAGAAUGGUUGGAAAUCAUUCGCAGAGUGUAAAGGUAUAAGGGAGCUUGACUGCGAGAGCUACAACUCGAGCAGGGACGAAAGUCGGGCUUAGUGAUCCGGUGGUUCCGUAUGGAAGGGCCAUCGCUCAACGGAUAAAAGCUACCCUGGGGAUAACAGGCUUAUCUCCCCCAAGAGUUCACAUCGACGGGGAGGUUUGGCACCUCGAUGUCGGCUCGUCGCAUCCUGGGGCUGUAGUCGGUCCCAAGGGUUGGGCUGUUCGCCCAUUAAAGCGGCACGCGAGCUGGGUUCAGAACGUCGUGAGACAGUUCGGUCCCUAUCCGUCGCGGGCGUAGGAAAUUUGAGAGGAUCUGCUCCUAGUACGAGAGGACCAGAGUGGACUUACCGCUGGUGUACCAGUUGUCUUGCCAAAGGCAUCGCUGGGUAGCUAUGUAGGGAAGGGAUAAACGCUGAAAGCAUCUAAGUGUGAAACCCACCUCAAGAUGAGAUUUCCCAUGAUUAUAUAUCAGUAAGAGCCCUGAGAGAUGAUCAGGUAGAUAGGUUAGAAGUGGAAGUGUGGCGACACAUGUAGCGGACUAAUACUAAUAGCUCGAGGACUUAUCCAA
rnacentral:rRNA from 1 species